GUACCUGCAGAGCUGUUGUUGCCAGGGAAACAGAGGUCCUCAUCACAAUUCAAUUGAAUUACCUCCUGGUGUUCCAGAUACUAGGUCUUUUCAUUGGUCCACAGCAUAUGUGAAUCUACAUGGAAGAAAGUUAUUUUCUGCUUAUGCAUCUAUUGCACAAACAGCUUUGGCACCUGGGUCCAGACAGAAGACUCUACCUGGUUACCUGAUUUGUGGAUGUCAAGAGAGAAAGCAAACCCAGAGGGUAAGCUAUUCCAACCUUCAUGAAGAGCAGGAUGUGAAGGAGCACCCCCUACUGAGUGUCUUCCUAUAAGGAAUUCUCCAGAGACCAAGGAGCUUUACCAUUUGUUUCAGAAUCAAGACAUACUGAUCUGGAAGAGACGCAGGAGACAGAUUAUCUAGUCUGACAACUUUAUUUUACAAUUGGGCAACUGAGGCCCGGAACAAAUAAAUGACCAGACCAAAGCUACGGAGGAAGGUUUACCUUUAAGAUUACAGGGUCCAGGUGACGCUGACACUGCUGCUCCAGUGACCAUGCUCUGACAACCACAGCUGUAGACACAAGGCCAAAUUCCUCAGGCCCUCUUCUGAAAGCAUCCUUCCAUACAGACUGAUGACAAUGCAGCAAUUGCAAUUGAGCAGUUCUGGCUUAUGGGGACAGGGGCUGGGCUUAGAAGCUUAUCAUAUUCAAGGUGGCAGAACACAUAUUGGGGGUGUUAUUGUCUGAAAAACAGGACUCACACUGUCGGGAAUUGGCAGGCCUUGUACCACAACAGGUGAAAACAAGCAAACUAAUCCAUUAAUCAACAGUCUACUGUGAGCAAGGGAAGCAUGAAGAAUUAGAGGACUAAGCCGACACACACAAUGACAUGUUUUGAAAAGAGCCAGAAAGGAUCUCUGGCCGAAGAGAUCCUGCCACCAAUAGCCAUGAUCUGGAUAUUUCACCAUUAAGAAGUCAUUGCUAUACAUCUUAAGGCUCUCUGGUAUUCAGAAAGGCUCAGAUAAAAUGUCAUUUCUCCCGA